AGAUGUUAAGAGAUCCACAUGGCGGUCUUAUCCGGACAGAGAGGAAAAGGAAAGAGGACGCUGCUGAUCAGAAAAUACGUAAUUGACACUAAGCAAAGGUGGAGCUCAAAGUGAACUUGGAGCCACAAACGCCAUUUCUGUUUUCAAUGUAAACAGCUACAUAAAUCUGCACUGAUUGCAGGAUUGAAUCUAGCCCCAACCUCUGUGCCAACCUACUUGGACUAUCCACCCCAACUGGGCGACAGUCCCUAUACUGAACUAAGUACAGGGGCUUCAAGAAGUGUUACACAGUCAAAGUCAAUAAAAAAGG